rnacentral:misc_RNA from 1 species
GGAGAAUUGGGAGUGACUCACAUUUGGGAGAUGUUUACAAAAAGGCUGUCCCUUGUAAGGACUUGGUGCCCUUGGUUGUGGACAUUCUUGUUAAACAUUUUGGGGCUGUACCAAGGGAAAGGGAGGAAGAAGAAGAGGAUUAAGUUAUAAGGCUGGUUGUAUCUUUCAAGUUUGGAGUCUUUGGACAUAUUGGAAGACAUUUUACAAAGAAGAAAUUUG